rnacentral:lncRNA from 1 species
GUGUGUAAUAAUACUGUUUAUGUAUUGUAUCCCCAGAUGGAUAUAGUCUGAGGAGGUGUGUAAUAAUACUGUUUAUGUAUUGUAUCCCCAGAUGGAUAUAGUCUGAGGAGGUGUGUAAUAAUACGGUUUGUGUAUUGUAUCCCCAGAUGGAUAUAGUCUGAGGAGUUGUGUAAUAAUACUGUUUAUGUAUUGUAUCCCCAGAUGGAUAUAGUCUGAGGAGUUGUGUAAUAAUACGGUUUGUGAUGACUGGCUGCAAGCCUCUGCUGGCCCUUUGGAAGGGAAAUCUAG